AGCUAAAAAAUCAUCAUCCCAGAGAAGAGAGAGGCAGGAAUUUCUCUGCAAGCCAGAGAGAGAUGAACAUCAGACAUCUGGAAAGAAAAGCUGAGAAUUCUAAACAGUAAAGAGUAGAGAUGAGGUUUCACUAUGUUGGUUGGGCUGGUCUCAAACUCCUGACUUCAAAUGAUCCACCUGCCUUGGCCUCCCAAAAUGCUGGGUUUACAGGCGUGAGCCACCAUGCCCAGCCACCACUGGCAUUAUGGAGUCUCACUCUGUCACCCGGGCUGGAGUGCAGGGGCAGGAUCUCAGCUCACUGCAACCUCCACCUCCCGGGUCCAAACAGUUCUCCUGCCUCAGCCUUCUGAGUAGCUGGGACUACAGAUGCUCAGAGGCCCCAUGCCUGAUGAGUCAGUGGACAGGGGACAUUGAAUAUGACCUGCUUCUGCCACCCAUUCCACACCAAACAACUCUGUGUGACCUACAAAAUCUUAAAGGCAUCUUUUCAAGAUGUAAGCUGAAGGAAGAUAUGUCAGAUUUCAGGCUGUCCUCACUCUCAACAUCCCCUCCAGCCAACUGCUGUUCUGAUUUUCCCUCCAGAAACUGACUUCACCAAUUCUAGAACUUCAUACAAAUGGAUCACACGGAUUUUCAUGGUUUCAGGCCUUGUGUUUAAUUCUGUAAUCCAUCUUGUGGUAAGCCCAGCCGAAUUCUACCAGAGGUACAAAGAGGAGCUGGUACCAUUUCUUCAGAAACUAUUCCAAAUAAUAGAAAUAGAGGGAUUCCUCUCUACUCACUUUUAUGAAGCCAGCAUCAUCCUGAUACCAAAACCUGCCAGAGAUACUACAAAAAAAAUAAAUAAAAUUUCAGGCCAAUAUCCCUGAUGAACAUUGAUGUGAAAAUCCUCAAUAAAAUACUGGCAAACAGAAUCCAGCAGCAUAUCAAAAAGCUCAUCCACCACAAUCAAGUUGGCUUCAUCCCUGGGAUGCAAGGCUGGUUCAACAUAUGCAAAUCAAUAAACGGAAUCCAUCACAUAAACAGAACCAAUGACCAAAACCACGAUUAUCUCAAUAGAUCCAGAAAAGGCCUUCAAUGAAAUUCAACACCACUUUAUGCUAAAAACUCUCAAUGAACUAGGUAUUGAUGGAAUGCAUCUGAAAAUAAUAAGAGCUGUUUAUGACAAACCCACAGACAAUAUCAUAAUGAAUGGGUAAAAUCUGGACACAUUCCCUUUGAAAACUGGCACAAGGCAAGGAUGCCCUCUCUCACCACUCCUAUUCAACAUAAUAUUGGACGUUCUGGACAGGGCAAUUAGGCAAGAGAAAGAAAUAAAGCGUAUUCAAAUAGGAAGAGAGGAAGUCAAAUUGUCUCUGUUUGCAGAUGACAUGAUUAUAUAUUUAGAAAACCCCAUUGUCUCAGCCCAAAAUCUCCUUAAGCUGAUAAUCAACUACAGGAAAGUCUCAGGAUACAAAAUCAAUGUGUGAAAAUCACAAGCAUUCCUAUACACCAAUAAUAGACAAAAAGAGAGCCAAAUCAUUAGUGAACCCCCUUUCACAAUUGCUACAAAGAGAAUAAAAUACUUAGGAAUACCACUUACAAGGGAUAUGAAGGACCUCUUCAAGGAGAAUGACUAACCACUGCUUAAGGAAAUAAGAGGGGACACAAACAAAUGGAAAAACAUUCCAUGCUCAUGGAUAGGAAGAAUCAAUAUUGUGAAAAUGGUUACAGAUUCAAUGCUAUCUCCAUCAAGCUACCACUGACUUUCUUCACAGAAUUAGAAAAAACUAUUUUAAAUUUCAUAUGGAACCAAAAAA
ensembl:lncRNA novel transcript